rnacentral:rRNA from 1 species
ACGCUCGACACCUACGGGAGGCAGCAGUAGGGAAUCUUCCACAAUGGGCGCAAGCCUGAUGGAGCAACACCGCGUGAGUGAAGAAGGGUUUCGGCUCGUAAAGCUCUGUUGUUGGAGAAGAACGUGCGUGAGAGUAACUGUUCACGCAGUGACGGUAUCCAACCAGAAAGUCACGGCUAACUACGUGCCAGCAGCCGACGGUAAUCUGAGGCGGGCGUGGCGAAGGC